AGCUCCAAUAGCGUAUAUUAAAGUUGUUGCAGUUAAAAAGCUCGUAGUUGAAUUUCAGUCUCUGGUGGUCGGCCCACUCCGCAAGGAGUCGGAGCCUCAGUACCAACCGGAUUCAUCUUUGGGAUGUGCGCGUCUGGCAUUCACUUGUCGGUCAUGUACUCUCCCAUCGUUUACUGUGAGCAAAUUAGAGUGUUCAAAGCAGGCUUAUGCCGUUGAAUACAUUAGCAUGGAAUAAUAAGAUAGGACCUUAGGCGGUCUAUUUUGUUGGUUUGCACGCCUAGGUAAUGAUAAAUAGGGACAGUCGAGGUUGCUUGUAUUCUACAGUAAGGGGUGAAAUCCUUUGAUUUGUAGAAGACAAACUAAAGCGAAAGCAUUCAACAAGGAUGUUUUCAUUAAUCAA
rnacentral:rRNA from 1 species